rnacentral:rRNA from 1 species
UACGGAGGGUGCGAGCGUUGUCCGGAAUCACUGGGCGUAAAGGGCGCGUAGGCGGCCUGAUAAGUAGGGGGGUGAAAUCCUGCGGCUUAACCGCAGGGCUGCCUUCUAAACUGUCAGGCUCGAGCACAGUAGAGGCAGGUGGAAUUCCCGGUGUAGCGGUGGAAUGCGUAGAGAUCGGGAAGAACAUCAGUGGCGAAGGCGGCCUGCUGGGCUGUUGCUGACGCUGAGGCGCGACAGCGUGGGGAGCAAACGGG